GGAAACCAGGACUGUAGCUGUAGGACGGGGCAGAUGGAAACAGUAGAACACCUAAUAGUGGAAUGCAGCAACUAUGAGAGGCAGAGAGGGGAGUUGGUGGCAGGAGUAGUGAUGGUAAUAGGCGGAGAGGAGUGGGCUAGGAGACUAGAGGAGGAAAACGGGGCGAUCUGCACGGUGUUGGGGCUGCAUGGAGACAAAAAGGAAACGGAAAGAAAAAUGGUAAAGUUGGCAAAAGUGUUCCUCGCGCAGUGCUGGGAAAAAAGGGCACAAAUGUCCGUAUAAGUGAAUAUAAGUGGCUUUAUUUCAGAUUAGAAAAUUACAUAACGCUGAAAAGAAAGUUGUGUGAAUAAGAAGGGAGGAACGAGAGGAGGAGGACCUAAGAAGCGAUACAAAGCGUUACAGGUCAAAAGAAGAAGAAGAAGAAGGCGCGGCGCCCCACACACCAGAACACUUCCUGCCACGGCUACACUCCCCCACACCAGCCGCAAGGCAGCCCCAGCCAGGCUCCACACCCUCAGGUCAGCCUGUGACACCCUCAGGGGAAUGCUCACGUUUUUGGGAUUGCUUCAAAGCUUGACGAGACACCUCUCCCAGGCUCCCUCCUUCACGCUGGACCACCCCUGGAGGAGGACUCCCUGGAGCCUGCCAAGGAGUACAGGGAUGCUGACACCAAUGAGUUCUGUCCUGCCAGGCCGCUGCUCCCCGGGUGUUGUAGUAGUCCAUGAGGUAGGCGCGGAUUCCCGUGCUUUUAUAUGCCACAGGGGCAUCAGAUGAUCAGCUGUCAGAAAUCUUGGCACUGUCGGAGAAUUGUCCCCGACAUGUCGCCGACACUUCGGGGACAUGCGAAGACAAUUCGGAGACUUGUCGCCAGUUAUUCCGCGACAAAAAAAAAAAAAAAAAAAAAAGUUAAAAUUUCUGAUUUUGAGCUCGGCGACAUGGACGCAGAAUAGUCGGCGACAUGUCUCCGAACUUUCCCCGAAUUGUCUUGACCAUUCACCGACAUGUCGCCGAAUGGUCACGAACUGUAAGAAUCUUGGUCAUGUCGGCGAACCGGUCGCUGAAUUUUUUCACGAUCUGAUUCGGCGUCAAGUUCGUGGCCAAAAUUCAGCAGUGUAUUUGGGGCUUUACACUCCCCAUAACAGUGG